CGACUCUCGGCAACGGAUAUCUCGGCUCUCGCAUCGAUGAAGAACGUAGCGAAAUGCUGCAGAAUCCCGUGAACCAUCGAGUCUUUGAACGCAAGUUGCGCCCCAAGCCGUCAGGCCGAGGGCACGCCUGCCUGGGCGUCACG
rnacentral:rRNA from 1 species